AGAUGGCGACCGGCGCACGGGUGAGUAACACGUAUCCAACCUGCCGAUAACUCGGGGAUAGCCUUUCGAAAGAAAGAUUAAUACCCGAUGGCAUAAUUAGACCGCAUAGUCUUAUUAUUAAAGAAUUUCGGUUAUCGAUGGGGAUGCGUUCCAUUAGGCAGUUGGUGAGGUAACGGCUCACCAAACCUUCGAUGGAUAGGGGUUCUGAGAGGAAGGUCCCCCACAUUGGAACUGAGACACGGUCCAA
rnacentral:rRNA from 1 species